rnacentral:rRNA from 1 species
UACGUAGGGUGCGAGCGUUGUCCGGAAUUAUUGGGCGUAAAGGGCUCGUAGGCGGUUUGUCGCGUCGGGAGUGAAAACACCGGGCUUAACUCGGUGCUGGCUUGCGAUACGGGCAGACUAGAGGUAUUCAGGGGAGAACGGAAUUCCUGGUGUAGCGGUGAAAUGCGCAGAUAUCAGGAGGAACACCGGUGGCGAAGGCGGUUCUCUGGGAAUGUCCUGACGCUGAGGAGCGAAAGUGUGGGGAGCGAACAGG